GUACUGUAACAGGGAUUUUGAUGAUGAAAAAAUCCUUAUACAGCAUCAAAAAGCAAAGCACUUUAAAUGUCAUAUAUGUCAUAAGAAACUGUAUACAGGACCUGGUUUAGCUAUACAUUGCAUGCAGGUACAUAAAGAAACAAUAGAUGCUGUUCCAAAUGCUAUUCCUGGAAGAACAGACAUUGAACUGGAAAUCUAUGGCAUGGAGGGCAUUCCAGAAAAGGAUAUGGAGGAACGGAGGAGGUUACUUGAACAAAAAACUCAGGAAAGCCAGAAAAAGAAACAACAGGAUGAUUCUGAUGAGUAUGAAGAUGAUGAAUCUGCAGCUUCAACUUCAUUUCAACCUCAGCAAGUUCAGCCACAGCAGGGGUACAUUCCCCCAAUGGCACAACCAGGUUUGCCUCCUGUGCCCGGUGCACCAGGGAUGCCUCCAGGUAUACCACCGUUAAUGGCAGGUGUUCCACCUAUGAUGCCUGGAAUGCCUCCAGUUAUGCCUGGAAUGCCACCUGGGAUGAUGCCGAUGGGUGGAAUGAUGCCUCCUGGGCCAGGAAUACCACCUCUCAUGCCUGGUAUGCCACCAGGUAGGUCAGGGUUGUAAAACUCAUAUUAUGGUAUGCCACCACCUGUUGGUCCUCGUCCUGGGAUGCCUCCGAUGACACAAGCACAGCCUGUUACAGCACCGGGCAUUCUUAACAGGCCUCCAGCUCCUGCUGCAUCGGCACCUACCCCCCAGCCUCCAGUUACUAAACCACUCUUCCCAAGUGCGGGGCAGGCUGCAGCAGCUGUUCCAGGUCCAGUUGGUACUGAUUUCAAACCUUUGAAUUCUACACCUGCAACAACAACAGAACCCCCAAAACCUACAUUCCCAGCUUACACACAGUCUACAGCCUCAACCACUAGCACGACAAACAGUACUGCAGCUAAACCAGCUACAUCUAUAACAAGUAAGCCAGCUACCCUCACAACAACCAGUGCAACCAGUAAGUUGAUCCAUCCAGAUGAGGAUAUAUCACUGGAAGAGAGAAGGGCACAGUUGCCUAAAUAUCAGCGUAAUCUUCCUCGACCAGGACAGGCUUCCUUGGGUAAUCCACCAGUUGGACCAAUUGGAGGUAUGAUGCCACCACAGCCAGGGAUUCCUCCACAGCAGCAAGGAAUGAGACCUCCCAUGCCACCUCAUGGUCAGUAUGGUGCUCAUCACCAGGGCAUGCCAGGAUAUCUUCCUGGAGCAAUGCCUCCAUACGGUCAGGGACCUCCGAUGGUGCCCCCUUACCAAAGUGGACCUCCUCGACCUCCAAUGGGAAUGAGACCUCCUGUAAUGUCGCAAGGUGGCCGCUACUGAUGCUACUACACACGCUCUAAUAGGUUUGGAGAUUAAACCUUUUCUCAUCUUGUGCUGUUAAUAUAGCCGAGCUUCCGUCAAUUAAGGCUUCAUUGUGACUUUAAAAAAAAAUAAGUAUCUUCCCACAUGCAAGGAGCUAUUGGACAUUCUUAUUUUACACGGGAAAAAUUAUUUGGAAUAAUAACAGGAACUUUUCCUGAUGUUGCAAUUUAUACUGUAUGGCUUCUUUUUCAUGUUUCAUCUAGGUUUUUAGAAGUGAAGUAUAGUAAAUAUGGUUCGUUAAAUUGUGAAGGCGCUGGAAUUACAUGAACAUACCACCUUAAAGGCAAGUUCUGUAACAUUACGUUGCUAUUUGUGAAAUGAUGCCUUCACAGCACUUCAAGUGCUGUUGGACUUCAUGUCCCCAACAUAGUUUGGUGAGGGCUGUAACUGUUCCCAACUACUUGUACAUUUAAGUCUGAACUUGUAACAAUAUUUAAUGUAUUUAGAGUUCCUCCUGUUUCAGGGUUUAAGUAAACUGACCCACUAAGGUCGUGUGACUUUUCUGUACUGUUAUAAACUUCAUUGUAAUAAAAGAAGAGAAAAAUUUAUAUGCCUUUUUAUUCAUGACCAGCUGUGGACAACUGCCUGAAAGGUUUGUACAGAUGCAUGCUGUGGUAGCUAUUGGUGUAAUGAACACAGUUGUUGGUGCUGUUCUGAUAAAAUCUGAAUUCCUUGUUCUAAAACUAAGUCACUCCUUAGCUGCUCAUCUGAGUAGACAAAGACCUGUACACUUAUUAACUGACUCCUCAAAAAUGAGGCUGCAGGAGGCACAUCUUAACUCUUGGUUGUAACUUCUCUUAAUGCAUAUGUUUCUUUACUUGUGCUUUCUUGUCCUCAGUAAAUUUUAAAUGAUUUCUAGUCCUGGCA